GAACGCACAUUGCGCCCCUUGGUAUUCCAUGGGGCAUGCCUGUUCGAGCGUCAUUUGUACCUUCAAGCUUUGCUUGGUGUUGGGUGUUUGUCCUCUCCCUAGCGUUUGGACUCACCUUAAAAUAAUUGGCAGCCAGUGUUUUGGUAUUGAAGCGCAGCACAAUUUGCGAUUCUGGCCUUGAAAUACUAGCGUCCAUAAGCAUUUUCUCACUUUUGACCUCGGAUCAGGUAGGGAUACCCGCUGAACUUAAG
rnacentral:misc_RNA from 1 species